UACGUAGGGGGCGAGCGUUGUCCGGAGUUACUGGGCGUAAAGGGUCCGUAGGCGGAUCUGUAAGUCAGUGGUGAAAUCUCACAGCUUAACUGUGAAACUGCCAUUGAUACUGCAGGUCUUGAGUGUUAUUGAAGUAGCUGGAAUAAGUAGUGUAGCGGUGAAAUGCAUAGAUAUUACUUAGAACGCCAAUUGCGAAGGCAGGUUACUAAGCAACAACUGACGCUGAUGGACGAAAGCGUGGGGAGCGAACAGG
rnacentral:rRNA from 1 species